AGGGGACAGAGCUUGCGGGGAUGGGUGGAGGGACAGAUAGGGGCAUGGGAGGUCAGGGGCCAGGCAGGGAGUGCAGGUCUAGGCUGCACUGUCCCCUCAGCAAGAAGUUCCUGUGGGAGGAGCUGGAACUGGUGCGGGAGGAGGUGACCUUCAUCUAUCAGAAGCUCCAAGCGCAGGAGGAUGAGAUCUCAGAGAACCUGGUGAACAUUCAGAAAAUGCAGAAAACGCAGGUGAAAUGCCGCAAAAUCCUGACCAAGAUGAAGCAGCAGGGUCAUGAGACAGCCGCCUGUCCGGAGACUGAAGAGAUACCGCAGGGAACCAGUGGCUGCUGGAAGGAUGACCUCCAGAAGGAACUGAGUGAUAUAUGGUGUCUGCUGUGCACGUGCUGCAGAACUCCAUAGACAGCCUCACUUUGUG
rnacentral:lncRNA from 1 species